CUUAAUCUCAGCCUAUUGGCUUAAUCAAAUUAAGCCAAUUAGCAAUCAAAUUGCUAAUCGAUCCUCCUACAACACUUGUACUGGGUUAAAUGUCAAUCGUAUUGAUCAUUUAACCCUAGAAUGAUUCUUAAUCGUUGAUCAACCAUUUGAUCGGAUCAUGAACUCUAAUAUGUGUGACUUCAUAGGUCCAAACCUAAGUCGGUAGUACAAAAAUAAAUUUCUGUACCAAUCGAAGUGACCAUCUAGCAAUGGUACC
rnacentral:lncRNA from 1 species